rnacentral:rRNA from 1 species
AUUGAACGCUGGCGGCAGGCCUAACACAUGCAAGUCGAACGAGUGGCGGACGGGUGAGUAAUGUCUGGGAAACUGCCCGCUGGAGGGGGAUAACAACUGGAAACGGUAGCUAAUACUGCAUACCAUGGGAUGUGCCCAGAUGGGGUUUGCUAGUAGUGGGGGUAACGGCUCACCUAGGCGACGAUCCCUAGAUGGUCUGAGAGGAUGACCAGCCACACUGGAACUGAGACACGGUCCAGACUCCUACGGUAGGCAGCAGUGGGGAAGAUUGCACAAUGGGCGCGAGCCGGGUACAGCCAUGCCGCGUGUAUGAAGAAGGCCUUCUGGUUGUAAAGUACUUUCAGCGAGGAGGCGUUACUCGCAGAAGAAGCACCGGCUAACUCCGUGCCAGCAGCCGCGGUAAUUC